CUUUCCUACGGGACGCAGCAGUGGGGAAUAUUGGGCAAUGGAGGAAACUCUUACCCAGCAAUGCCGCGUGAAUGAAGAAGGUCUUCGGAUUGUAAAGUUCUUUAAUUGGGGACGAAAAAAAUGACGGUACCCAAGGAAUAAGCCCCGGCUAACUCCGUGCCAGCAGCCGCGGUAAUACGGAGGAUGCGAGCGUUAUCCGGAUUUAUUGGGUUUAAAGGGUGCGUAGGCGGGCUUUUAAGUCAGUGGUAAAAAUUCGGGGCUCAACCCCGUCCGGCCGUUGAAACUGGGGGCCUUGAGUGGGCGAG
rnacentral:rRNA from 1 species